rnacentral:rRNA from 1 species
UGAAUACGAGACGCUAAGGCGUUGAAGUAGUGUAUAUCAUACUUCCAAGAAAAGCUUGCACUGUCAUAGAUAAAAAACGCCUGUACCAUAACCGACACAGGUGGGUAGGUAGAGUAUACUAAGGGGCGCGAGAUAACUCUCUCUAAGGAACUCGGCAAAAUAACUCCGUAACUUCGGGAGAAGGAGUGCCUUAUUUAUAAGGUUGCAAUAACAAGAUCCAAGCAACUGUUUAUCAAAAACACAGGUCUCCGCUAAGUCGUAAGACGAUGUAUGGGGGCUGACGCCUGCCCAGUGCCAGAAGGUUAAAGAAGUUGGUUAGCAAUAGCGAAGCUGAUAACUGAAGCCCUGGUGAACGGCGGCCGUAACAAUAACGGUCCUAAGGUAGCGAAAUUCCUUGUCGGGUAAGUUCCGACCCGCACGAAAGGCGUAAUGAUUUGGAUACUGUCUCGGAGAGGGGCUCGGUGAAAUAGACUUGUCUGUGAAGAUGCGGACUACCUGCACCAGGACAGAAAGACCCUAUGAAGCUUUACUGUAACUUGAAAUUGAAAUUGGACUUUAUUCGCGCAGUAUAGGUGGGAGGCGUUGAUUGUAAUCUUGCGGGAUUAUUGGAGCCAUCAGUGAGAUACCACCCUUGUAAUGUUAGAUUUCUAACUUUGAAUCAUUAUCUGGUCAAAGAACAGUUUCAGGCGGGCAGUUUGACUGGGGCGGUCGCCUCCUAAACGGUAACGGAGGCGUACAAAGGUUUCCUCUGAACGGUUAGAAAUCGUAUCUAGAGUGUAAAGGCAUAAGGAAGCUUGACUGUGAGACCUACAAGUCGAGCAGGGACGAAAGUCGGUCUUAGUGAUCUGACGGUACUGAGUGGAAAGGCCGUCACUCAACGGAUAAAAGUUACUCUAGGUAUAACAGGCUGAUCUCCCCCAAGAGUUCACAUCGACGGGGAGGUUUGGCACCUCGAUGUCGGCUCAUCGCAUCCUGGGGCGGUAGUACGUCCCAAGGGUUGGGCUGUUCGCCCAUGAAAGCGGUACGCGAGCUGGGUUCAGAACGUCGUGAGACAGUUCGGUCCAUAUCCGGUGUAGGCGUUAGAAUAUUGAGAGGAGCCUUCUUUAGUACGAGAGGACCGAGAAGGACAUACCUCUGGUGUACCAGUAAUCGUGCCAACGGUAAACGCUGGGUAGCUAUGUAUGGAGUGGAUAACCGCUGAAAGCAUCUAAGUGGGAAGCCCACCUCAAGAUAAG